UACAGAGGUCUCGAGCGUUGUUCGGAUUCAUUGGGCGUAAAGGGUGCGUAGGUGGCGUGGUAAGUCUGGUGUGAAAUCCCGGGGCUCAACCCCGGAACUGCACUGGAUACUGCCAUGCUUGAGUACUGGAGAGGAGAUUGGAAUUUACGGUGUAGCAGUGAAAUGCGUAGAUAUCGUAAGGAAGACCAGUGGCGAAGGCGAAUCUCUGGACAGUUACUGACACUGAGGCACGAAGGCCAGGGGAGCAAACGGGAUAGAAACCCC
rnacentral:rRNA from 1 species